UACGAAGGGGGCGAGCGUUGUUCGGAUUUACUGGGCGUAAAGGGCGCGCAGGCGGUCUUGAAAGUCAGGCGUGAAAGCCCCGGGCUUAACCUGGGAAUUGCGCUUGAUACUCUGAGACUGGAGUACGGGAGAGGAGAGUGGAAUUCCCAGUGUAGAGGUGAAAUUCGUAGAUAUUGGGAAGAACACCAGUGGCGAAGGCGGCUCUCUGGACCGUAACUGACGCUGAGGCGCGAAAGCGUGGGAGCAAACAGG
rnacentral:rRNA from 1 species